GACAGAGGUGCCGAGCGUUAGGCGGAAUCACUGGGCUUAAAGGGCGCGUAGGCGGGCUGUCAAGUCUGGGGUGAAAUGCCGCGGCUCAACCGUGGAACUGCCUUUGAUACUGGUCGUCUCGAGGGAGAUAGGGGCGUGCGGAACUUCCGGUGGAGCGGUGAAAUGCGUAGAUAUCGGAAGGAACACCGGUGGCGAAAGCGGCGCGCUGGAUCUCUUCUGACGCUGAGGCGCGAAAGCCAGGGGAGCGAACGGG
rnacentral:rRNA from 1 species